GGGUUGUGAGGUUAAGCGACUAAGCGUACACGGUGGAUGCCCUGGCAGUCAGAGGCGAUGAAGGACGUGCUAAUCUGCGAUAAGCGCCGGUAAGGUGAUAUGAACCGUUAUAACCGGCGAUUUCCGAAUGGGGAAACCCAGUGUGAUUCGUCACACUAUCAUUAACUGAAUCCAUAGGUUAAUGAGGCGAACCGGGGGAACUGAAACAUCUAAGUACCCCGAGGAAAAGAAAUCAACCGAGAUUCCCCCAGUAGCGGCGAGCGAACGGGGAGGAGCCCAGAGCCUGAAUCAGCAUGUGUGUUAGUGGAAGCGUCUGGAAAGGCGCGCGAUACAGGGUGACAGCCCCGUACACAAAAGCGCAUGUGCUGUGAGCUCGAUGAGUAGGGCGGGACACGUGGUAUCCUGUCUGAAUAUGGGGGGACCAUCCUCCAAGGCUAAAUACUCCUGACUGACCGAUAGUGAACCAGUACCGUGAGGGAAAGGCGAAAAGAACCCCGGCGAGGGGAGUGAAAAAGAACCUGAAACCGUGUACGUACAAGCAGUGGGAGCACAGGUUUGGGGUGUGACUGCGUACCUUUUGUAUAAUGGGUCAGCGACUUAUAUUCUGUAGCAAGGUUAACCGUAUAGGGGAGCCGGAGGGAAACCGAGUCUUAAUUGGGCGUUAAGUUGCAGGGUAUAGACCCGAAACCCGGUGAUCUAGCCAUGGGCAGGUUGAAGGUUGGGUAACACUAACUGGAGGACCGAACCGACUAAUGUUGAAAAAUUAGCGGAUGACCUGUGGCUGGGGGUGAAAGGCCAAUCAAACCGGGAGAUAGCUGGUUCUCCCCGAAAGCUAUUUAGGUAGCGCCUCGUGAAUUCAUCUCCGGGGGUAGAGCACUGUUUCGGCUAGGGGGCCAUCCCGGCUUACCAACCCGAUGCAAACUGCGAAUACCGGAGAAUGUUAUCACGGGAGACACACGGCGGGUGCUAACGUCCGUCGUGAAGAGGGAAACAACCCAGACCGCCAGCUAAGGUCCCAAAGUCAUGGUUAAGUGGGAAACGAUGUGGGAAGGCCCAGACAGCCAGGAUGUUGGCUUAGAAGCAGCCAUCAUUUAAAGAAAGCGUAAUAGCUCACUGGUCGAGUCGGCCUGCGCGGAAGAUGUAACGGGGCUAAACCAUGCACCGAAGCUGCGGCAGCGA
rnacentral:rRNA from 1 species